rnacentral:rRNA from 1 species
GAUGAACGCUGGCGGCGUGCCUAAUACAUGCAAGUAGAACGCUGAAGGAAGGAGCUUGCUCUUUCCGGAUGAGUUGCGAACGGGUGAGUAACGCGUAGGUAACCUGCCUGGUAGCGGGGGAUAGCUAUUGGACACGAUCGCUAAUACCGCAUAACAGUAGAUGUUGCAUGAUUUCUACUUAAAAGUUGCAAUUGCCCCAUUACCAGAUGGACUUCCGUUGUAUUAGUUAGUUGGUGAGGUAAAGGAGCACCAAGGCGACGAUACAUAGCCGCCCUGAGAGGGUGAUCGGCCACACUGGGACUGAGACACGGCCCAGACUCCUACGGGAGGCAGCAGGAGGGAAUCUUCGGCAAUGGACGGAAGUCUGACCGAGCAACGCCGCGUGAGUGAAGAAGGUUGUCGGAUCGUAAAGCUCGGUUGUAAGAGAAGAACGAGUGUGAGAGUGGAAAGUUCACACUGUGACGGUAUCUUACCAGAAAGGGACGGCUAACUACGUG